rnacentral:rRNA from 1 species
AGUGAACGCUGGCGGUAGGCCUAACACAUGCAAGUCGAACGGCAGCACAGGAGAGCUUGCUCUCUGGGUGGCGAGUGGCGGACGGGUGAGGAAUACAUCGGAAUCUACUUUUUCGUGGGGGAUAACGUAGGGAAACUUACGCUAAUGCCGCAUACGACCUACGUGUGAAAGCAGGGGACCUUCGGGCCUUGCGCGAUUGAAUGAGCCGAUGUCGGAUUAGCUAGUUGGCGGGGUAAAGGCCCACCAAGGCGACGAUCCGUAGCUGGUCUGAGAGGAUGAUCAGCCACACUGGGACUGAGACACGGUCCAGCCUCCUACGGGAGGCAGCAGUGGGGAAUAUUGGACAAUGGGCGCAAGCCUGAUCCAGCCAUACCGCGUGGGUGAAGAAGGCCUUCGGGUUGUAAAGCCCUUUUGUUGGGAAAGAAAUCCAGCUGGCUAAUACCCGGUUGGGAUGACGGUACCCAAAGAAUAAGCACCGGCUAACUUCGUGCCAGCCGCCGCAGUAA